GGUUUUAACCCAGUAUCACAAGGUACUAAGGGUGUCUGACCUACCUUAGGGUUGCGUCACAAACCUUAAUUUUUGGAUGGCCUUCUCGGGGUAUCCGGGAGGGCAAC
rfam:Oesophagostomum dentatum strain OD-Hann O_dentatum-1.0_Cont1842.3, whole genome shotgun sequence.